AUGGAAGCAGGUUUAGAAAAAGGAAAGACAUGGCAAAAGAAUUUGCUCAAAUUUUUUUACUGUAAGGUAGGGGAUUUCCCUUUUAAAUAUAUGGGUGUGCCUUUGCACUUUAAAAAACAUAGGAGAAAAGACAUUCAACCUAACAUUGAUAGGUUUAUCAAGAACAUAUCUGGUUGGUUGGGGAGAUGUCUUUCUUAUAGAUGCAAGCUUAUCUUGCUUACUACUUGCAUUGCCAGCAUCCCUACCUAUCUUAUGUCCAUUAUGAAACUCCCUAAGAGCAUCUCCAAUAGAUGGUCCAAAAUUUGGCAGUCCAAAACCGGAGAUGUAAAAUUUGGACCGCCAAAAAGUGCGGUUUGGAGCUCCGAAAAAAUCUCAACUCCAACAGAUGGUCCAAAUCUGCAACUCCAAUAG
rnacentral:rRNA from 1 species